CCUACGGGAGGCAGCAGGGGGGAAUUUUGGACAAUGGACGAAAGUCUGAUCCAGCCAUGCCGCUGCGGGAAGAAGGCCUUCGGGUUGUAAACCGCCUUGUCAGGGAAGAAAUCUUCUGGGCGAAUAACCUGGGAGGAUGACGGUACCUGAAGAAUAAGCACCGGCUAACUACGUGCCAGCAGCCGCGGUAAUACGUAGGGUGCAAGCGUUAAUCGGAAUUACUGGGCGUAAACGGUGCGCAGGCGGUGAUGCAAGACAGAUGUGAAAUCCCCGGGCUCAACCUGGGAACUGCAUUUGUGACUGCAUCGCUGGAGUGCGGCAGAGGGGGAUGGAAUUCCGCGUGUAGCAGUGAAAUGCGUAGAUAUGCGGAGGAACACCGAUGGCGAAGGCAAUCCCCUGGGCCUGCACUGACGCUCAUGCACGAAAGCGUGGGGAGCAAACAGGAUUAGAUACCCUGGUAGUCCACGCCCUAAACGAUGUCAACUGGUUGUUGGGAGGGUUUCUUCUCAGUAACGUACUAACGCGUGAAGUUGACCGCCUGGGGAGUACGGCCGCAAGGUUGAAACUCAAAUGAAUUGACGG
rnacentral:rRNA from 1 species